CGUACACUCCUGCGGGAGGCAGCAGUGAGGAAUAUUGGACAAUGGGUGGAAGCCUGAUCCAGCCAUCCCGCGUGCAGGAAGACGGCCCUAUGGGUUGUAAACUGCUUUUAUCUGGGGAUAAACCUACUUACGUGUAAGUAGCUGAAGGUACCAGAAGAAUAAGCACCGGCUAACUCCGUGCCAGCAGCCGCGGUAAUACGGAGGGUGCAAGCGUUAUCCGGAUUUAUUGGGUUUAAAGGGUCCGUAGGCGGACUGAUAAGUCAGUGGUGAAAUCCGACAGCUUAACUGUCGAACUGCCAUUGAUACUGUUAGUCUUGAGUAAGGUUGAAGUGGCUGGAAUAAGUAGUGUAGCGGUGAAAUGCAUAGAUAUUACUUAGAACACCAAUUGCGAAGGCAGGUCACUAAGUCUUAACUGACGCUGAUGGACGAAAGCGUGGGGAGCGAACAGGAUUAGAAACCCGUGUAGUCCC
rnacentral:rRNA from 1 species